rnacentral:rRNA from 1 species
UACGUAGGUGACAAGCGUUGUCCGGAUUUACUGGGCGUAAAGAGCGCGCAGGCGGUCGAUCAAGUCGAGUGUGAAAGCCCCCGGCUCAACUGGGGAGGGUCAUUCGAUACUGAUCGACUCGAAGGCAGGAGAGGGUAGUGGAAUUCCCGGUGUAGAGGUGAAAUUCGUAGAUAUUCGCAAGAACACCAGUGGCGAAGGCGGCUUACUGGUCCGGUUCUGACGCUGAGGCGCGAAAGCGUGGGGAGCAAACAGG